AGUGUGACUGCAUUCAAAAUUAUUACAAUACACUUACGUUAUUUCAACUUGUGCGCGUCCACAACAAGUGUGUUUCAAAAAUGCCGCGCCGGCCACCUGUGCGUAUGAGUGUUCUCCUCAAGUGAAGCCAGCGAAGUAAAGUGUCAGUGCCAAAAACAAAGCAGCCACUAAUGCCUGAAAGUGUUAAACAAAUUAGUGUAUACAAUUAAUUGCUUUACUUUGCAAGAAAAUUUUUUUGGAAUUGAAAAAUAAGAACAAAAACAACAGCGCAUAGCCACAGUCAGUGCCAAGGUUGCCAAGCAGCCGCGCGGGCGUUUGCACCGACGGUCGUUGCUGUCGCUGUGCCACAUAACAGCACACACACAAACAGCACAACGCAGGCGGCCACUGUCGCGCACUCAAAUUGCUGCUAAUUAAUCACAGCUGCUGAAUGGUUAGUGGCGCAUAAAAUGAAUUAACAGAUCAAUUAAAAUGCACCACGCGCCAACAGCGCGCUCUUAGCUGUAAAUCUUCCAAAAAACCUGACCCGUACAAUAUGGGUUCAAUGCACAAUGGCAAUCAACGAAUAUCAACAAAAGUAAAUAAUAGAAAAAUGUGUAAAAUUAUGCAACAAGAGAUUACACAUUCCACACGAAUGAGAAAAUGCGAACAAAAACAAUUACAAAAACUGCAAAUAGCAAGA